UCGAGAAUCUUCGGCAAUGGGCGCAAGCCUGACCGAGCGACGCCGCGUGGAGGACGAAGGCCUUCGGGUUGUAAACUCCUGUCGAGGGGGAGGAAGGCACGGCAACGUGCUUGACCGAUCCCUGGAGGAAGCACGGGCUAAGUUCGUGCCAGCAGCCGCGGUAAGACGAACCGUGCGAACGUUAUUCGGAAUCACUGGGCUUAAAGCGCGUGUAGGCGGGUCGGCACGUCCGUGGCUGAAAGCCCCCGGCUCAACCGGGGAAGUGGCGCGGAUACGGCCGAUCUGGAGGGGGGUAGGGGGACCUGGAACUUCCGGUGGAGCGGUGAAAUGCGUUGAGAUCGGAAGGAACGCCCGUGGCGAAAGCGAGGUCCUGGACCCUUUCUGACGCUGAGACGCGAAAGCCAGGGGAGCGAACGG
rnacentral:rRNA from 1 species